GGAAGGCAAUCACGCCCGGUGGCGUGGCCGGGCUUCAAACCCGGUUGGGGACGGCAGCCGUUCCUGGGUGAGUUCGACUCUCACUGCCUUCCGCCA
rnacentral:tRNA from 2 species